rnacentral:rRNA from 1 species
GAUGAACGCUGGCGGCGCGCCUAAUACAUGCAAGUCGAGCGAACAGAUAAGGAGCUUGCUCCUUUGACGUUAGCGGCGGACGGGUGAGUUACACGUGGAUAACCUACCUAUAAGACUGGGAUAACUUCGGGAAACCGGAGCUAAUACCGGAUAACAUAUUGAACCGCAUGGUUCAAUAGUGAAAGGCGGCUUUGCUGUCACUUAUAGAUGGAUCCGCGCCGUAUUAGCUAGUUGGUAAGGUAACGGCUUACCAAGGCAACGAUACGUAGCCGACCUGAGAGGGUGAUCGGCCACACUGGAACUGAGACACGGUCCAGACUCCUACGGGAGGCAGCAGUAGGGAAUCUUCCGCAAUGGGCGAAAGCCUGACGGAGCAACGCCGCGUGAGUGAUGAAGGUCUUCGGAUCGUAAAACUCUGUUAUCAGGGAAGAACAAAUGUGUAAGUAACUGUGCACAUCUUGACGGUACCUGAUCAGAAAGCCACGGCUAACUACGUG